GGCUGCUGUUGCUCCAAACAACAGCCUGGAAGGUGGAGACCUGGAUGAGGCCGAUACAGACGAUGACCAGUCAGAGACCAAAAACAUGUAUAAAGACGGUGACCU